GUGGCGAACGGGUGAGUAACACGUAGGUAACUUACCCUUGGGACUGGGAUAACUUCGAGAAAUCGGGGCUAAUACCGGAUAAUGCAGCGGACCCGCAUGGGUAUGUUGUUAAAGUGGUCUUGGCUUGCCAAGUUCACACCUAGGGAUAGACCUGCGCCCCAUUAGCUAGUUGGUGAGGUAACGGCUCACCAAGGCGACGAUGGGUAGCCGGCCUGAGAGGGUGUCCGGCCACACUGGGACUGAGAUACGGCCCAGACUCCUACGGGAGGCAGCAGUGAGGAAUAUUGGUCAAUGGCCGAAAGGCUGAACCAGCAACGCCGCGUGAGGGAUGAAGAUCUAAGGAUCGUAAACCUCUGUUAGAAGGGACGAAUAACUCCAUGAUGAACAAUCAUGGGGCCUGACGGUACCUUCAGAGAAAGCCCCGGCUAACUCCGUGCCAGCAGCCGCGGUAAUACGGGGGGGGCAAGCGUUGUCCGGAAUUAUUGGGCGUAAAGGGCGCGUAGGUGGAAUGGUAAGUUGAGGGGUGAAAGCCCGGAGCUUAACUCCGGGUCUGCCUUCAAGACUGUCAUUCUUGAGUAUGGAAGAGGGAAGUGGAAUUCCCGGUGUAGCGGUGAAAUGCGUAGAUAUCGGGAAGAACACCGGUAGCGAAGGCGGCUUCCUGGUCCAUUACUGACACUGAGGCGCGAGAGUGUGGGGAGCAAACAGGAUUAGAUACCCUGGUAGUCCACACGGUAAACGAUGGGCACUAGGUGUUGGAGGGCUCGACCCCUUCAGUGCCGCAGCUAACGCAUUAAGUGCCCCGCCUGGGGGAGUACGGCCGCAAGGUUGAAACUCAAAGGAAUUGACGGGGGCCC
rnacentral:rRNA from 1 species